UGUGUGUAUGUGUGGCAGCGGGCCAUGUGUCAGUGUAUGUGUGUGUGCCCAUGCCUGUGUGUGUGUAGCAGAGAGCUGGUUGCUCUGAGUAUGUUUUUGUUUUUGGGGGUUUCAGUGUCCGUAUUGUUGAUAUUGUGUUGAGAAGCGCUUUUGAGAAUGAAGUGAAAGGUCCUCGCGGAGAUUUACCGCUGAGAAUUGUCCGGUCCAAACUUUUUAUCUUGAGCCAGAGAAGCUCAGGCUGCUAUGGGCCGCGGGAGACACUGCCCAAGCCGUGUAUCAGAGUAAGCAUUUGGGGUUUCAAAAUUAAUAUUUUGAGACUUUUGCAUUAACAAAGCACAAUGAUUCGGCUUGGAGGAUUUAUGAAUAAAGAAAGCUAGCACGGCUGUUACUGCACGAUUCUUUGGAAUCCGAAAUAGUCUCCAGGUUCUGAAGGAAGUGGGCUGCACAGGGUGGGGUCGACAAUUCCCAGGUCACUGGUCUGAUUAAGCUCUUGGUUAUUUCAGAGUUAAAGUUGUGAGAUUUUUGCUUUUACAAAGCAUGAGGAUAGUGCUGGAUGAUUAUGACGUCGGACACCGGAUAAGUGGUGCCACUUGGCCAAGCUGUAUAUAUGUAAUAUCUUGUACAUACUGCCUGCGUAAAUGUAAUCACUUUCAGCUGUAAAUUCUGCUUUAGGAAUAUAAUUCAUUUAUUGUUAUUAAACGCUGUAAAUUUGCUUUAAGAAUACAAGUCAGUUAUGCUGUGAGUGGUGUGAAUGAAUGCCAGAGAGUGCUGCAGCUGCAGGAAUGUGUGUGUGUGUGAGAGAAUUAAAUAAAAUAGCUAUAAUAACAACAACAGCAUGAAUAAUAAAUAAUAACAAAAUAGUAAUAAUAAUAUAGCCUGGACACAAACUGAGCCUAAAAUAAAUCGAUUGAACUGAAAAUAUAAAUGUAGUAGGUGUGAGUGAGGUAAAGAAGUGUGGAGUGGUGAGUAUAGAUUAAGGAGGAUGAAAUAACAGCUGAGCCUCCGAGGAAAUAAAAGAAUUUUAGAAACAAAAUAUAAUCUGAUCAUAAGAAACACAUCUGUGUAACAGAGUUUGAGAGACUGCAGGACACUCAGAUGAUCAACCUGAAGCUUUGACAACUCACAAGAACAUUUAAUUUAAAAUAUAAUUCAAGAUGAAGUCAAAAGGAGUUCCUAGAAAGAGAAAAAUCUGUAAGUUGGUCCUCAGGAAAUAUUGUUUUGAUAUUUGUGUGUGUGUUCUCAGUGCAGAUGAGGUCUUCACCUCAGCACGUUCUUUGAAUACCAGAGGGUUUAGAAGAAGGGGGGAAAAUUGAGUUGCAAUGACCUUUCUGUUGUAUAUCUGCCUGGUUCCCAUCAUAGUUAUAGAGGUAAAUCUGAAAAUUUACCAAAUUAGUAAAUAAAUAAAUACAUUUAAAAUAAAUAACAAAUGAACUCAACAAAUUUGAUGGAGCAGAGAGAUUACUCUUUGAGUAGAACUUAUAGCCAGAGAGAGACAGUUGUUGUUUCACAGUGGACACUGUAAUUCUCAGAGAGCGAGUGUGGAGCAGGAACCCAUAGAGACCCUCUAAAACAGGGGGGUGAUCAACAGCCCAAUGCACGCGGUACUAAAACGGUACUAUCCACCUCCAACCAGGAGUGUGGUGUAUGUGAGACUGGCUGAUGGACUGUUUGAAAUCACACAAAGACCAAGUAAGUCAUCAUUUCCUUGGGAGAAAAUUCUGCAGGAGCUACUCUGCACUUUGAGACAUUUAAGCUCCUUUUGGCAAACAUGCCGCUAAUCUGAGCAGAGUAUGCCAGACUAACCUGCCUGAUUAUGUGAAUCUGGAUGCAUCACACUGUAUUGUGGAGUUUUUCAGGUAGCAGUAUCCUGAUGGUGGAGAUUUUCUAAGAUAGGAGAAAUCCUGACAGAGGAGGAGAGUCCAGCAAAAUGGCUGCAUACAUUCCAACGGAUGAGAGGCUGUGAGAGCUGACCAAACAGAGGAAGGAGAAGGCUAGCACCUCUGAUAACUGCACACUGAGGCUCAGGCUGCAGUGCUGACGGCUAAUGCUCAGAGUCGUGCAGCUCAAUCUUAGACACGCCCAGCCUGCUCCUCCAGCUGUCAGCACCACACAAGUAAUGGGGAGAUUUCCUUCUCCAACUGUUCCUAAUGCACUAACUGAAUCUGCUGUGCCUGUUGUACACAUGCAUGUUAAUCAAGGUGACAAUCUGGAUUUGUAAACCUGUGGGAGAGACGGGAGGCAGAUGAGAGGCAGAGUGACCUGGCGUGGAGGAAGGAGAGGACUGUCACAGCCAGCACAGCCGCUUGGACUCACUCAGCCUACUCAACAGAGGAACAACCUGCCUAGAGGGUGUGGCUGCUGCACCUGAUGGACUGAAAAACCGAUGUUGAUACAUGCAAUGAGGGAUCAUGUGUCCCAUCCCCACCAUCCCCACCAACACACCUCCUGCAUCUCAGCAAUUACCUGAUGAGGAUCUGACGGAGCACGCUGGUUAAAUGAGAACAAACAGAAAUGCAGGCUGGGAUGAUGCAAGAUGACACAAAGUGAGACACCAAGGUGUUCCCAGGCCAACAAAGAGAUAAAAUCUCUCCAGCGUGUCCUGGGUCUGCCCCUCCCAGUAGGACAUGCCCGGAACACCUCACCCAAGA